GGCUUAAUGGUACAAGGUGUACAAUUUCAGUCUGCUAAGUUGCAGAUGUCCUGGGUUCAAUUCAGAGUUGGGUCA